GAAUUUGGCGGUAUUAUAGNNNNNNNNNAGGAAUCUGUUACGUGAUCGAUAGUCCACGAUGAACCUUACUUACUUUAGAUUUUGUAUACCGCUGUUUAUUGAUUUUACUAUUAGGUUAUUUUCGGGAUCAGUUAUUAAUUAANAUUUCAAGYCAAGGUGCAGUAAUAUGUAAGUUGAAUAAUGGAUUACAAUAMAUUUUAUUUAAAUGGAUUUUUAUUUGAAUAUAAUUUGAAGGUGGAUUUAAUUGUAAUUUUGUAAAGAUUAUUAAAAUGAUUAUAGCUCUNUAAUAUGUACACAUCGCCC
rnacentral:rRNA from 1 species